rnacentral:lncRNA from 1 species
UCUUCUUGUGAGUCUCUUUGCUGAUUUUAUUCAGGAAGAGAUUGAGGAGCUGGAUCGAAUUUUGAAUAUUUUGGAUCCUCGGUCGUCGACCUUGGAUCUUCCUUUUCUGCGCCAGCUUAUUGUUGAGCGGCAGAGUGUUGCUGUUGCUGCUAGGGAAUCAAUUUUUGAAGAAUGGUCUGGUGGCGAUCUUCCGCCCGCUUCUUCUUCUGUUGUCCCUUCUCGUGGCCGACGUCGAAGGCGUCCCCGCUGCGGUGCUUCCCCGCUGGAUCAGGUCCCUCGCCGCUUACGUCGCGUAUCAAUUUUAAUUAGGAACCUGU